UCAAAACGACUCUCGGCAACGGAUAUCUCGGCUCUCGCAUCGAUGAAGAACGUAGCAAAAUGCGAUACUUGGUGUGAAUUGCAGAAUCUCGUGAAUCAUCGAGUCUUUGAACGCAAGUUGCGCCCGAAGCCAUUUGGCCGAGGGCACGUCUGCCUGGGCGUCAC
rnacentral:rRNA from 1 species